rnacentral:rRNA from 1 species
GACGGAGGAUGCAAGCGUUAUUCGGAAUGAUUGGGCGUAAAGCGUCCGCAGGUGGCUGUUCAAGUCUGCUGUCAAAGACCGGGGCUUAACUUCGGAAAGGCAGUGGAAACUGAACAGCUAGAGUAUGGUAGGGGCAGAGGGAAUUCCUGGUGUAGCGGUGAAAUGCGUAGAGAUCAGGAAGAACAUCGGUGGCGAAGGCGCUCUGCUGGACCAUAACUGACACUCAGGGACGAAAGCGAGGGGAGCGAAUGGG